GAGGGUAUAGCUCAGUGGUAGAGUGCGUGCUUAGCAUGCAUGAGGUCCUAGGUUCAAUCCCCAGUACCUCCA
rnacentral:tRNA from 1 species